ensembl:lncRNA
AUGACGGCGUCCUCGCAGGACUCCACGCCCUCGUCCGUGGCCCGCCUCGUCCUGCCCCUGCUCCUCCUCCUCCUCCUCCUCCUCCUCCCGGCUGUAUUCGCGCAGAACUCCGUCCCGACGAGUCCGACCCCGCCGCCGUUUGACCCGCUGACCCGGCCGGAGUGCACAAAGAAGGAACAUCCGAAGGUCUCCAUCCAAGCGCUCAGUCCGUGGAUAUCGACUUUCUCCCACCCGGGUGUGAGGGACUACUCCCAGCUCACCCUUGACCUGACUAGGAAUGAGCUUAUUGUGGGUGCCAGAAACUUCCUGUUCCGACUGGACCUCAGCAACAUGUCGCUGACACAGGCAACAGAAUGGGCGCCGGACGUGGAGACCAGGAGAUCCUGUCAGAGCAAAGGCAAAACAGAGGUAACCUCGAUCGCACUUCGGUGCCCAUUGUUCAGCUUUUUUUUUCGCGAAAUGUCGAAAAGGAUUGAAUGUCAGAACUACAUCAGGGUCCUGCUGGUGAACAAGACGGAGGUCAUGACCUGCGGAACCAACGCUUUCCAGCCGCUGUGCAUCACCCGGGAGGUGGGCAACAUGAGCAGCGUGCUGGAGCGCGUGAACGGCGUGGCGCGCUGCCCGUACGACCCGCGCCACAACUCCACGGCGGUGGUGACGGAGAGCGGCGAGCUGUACGCCGCCACGGUCAUCGACUUCUCCGGCCGCGACCCCGUCAUCUACCGCAGCCUGGGCGGCAUGCCGCCUCUCCGGACCGCCCAGUACAACUCAAAGUGGCUCAACGAGCCCCACUUCAUCUCGGCCUACGACAUCGGCCUCUUCACCUUCUUCUUCCUGCGGGAGAACGCCGUGGAGCACGACUGCGGCAAGACGGUGUACUCGCGCGUGGCGCGCGUCUGCAAGAACGACAUCGGCGGCCGCUUCCUGCUGGAGGACACGUGGACCACGUUCAUGAAGGCGCGGCUCAACUGCUCGCGCUCGGGCGAGAUCCCCUUCUACUACAACGAGCUGCAGAGCACCUUCUACCUGCCGGAGCAGGACCUCAUCUACGGCAUCUUCACCACCAAUGUCAACAGUAUUGCAGCGUCCGCAGUGUGUGCCUUCAACCUGAGCGCCAUCACCCAGGCUUUCAACGGGCCCUUCCGCUCGCAGGAGAACCCCCGCUCCACCUGGCUUCCCACGCCCAACCCCAUCCACAACUUCCAGUGUGGUACUAUAGACGAUCAGGGUCCCAACGAGGGUCUGACGGAGCGCAGCCUGCAGGACGCCCAGAGGCUCUACCUGAUGAACGACGUGGUCCAGCCGGAGUCUGUCGAUCCGCUGGUGAUGCAGGACGACGUUCGCUUCUCCAACCUGGUCGUGGACAUUGUCCAGGGCAUGGAGACGCUCUACCACGUUAUGUAUAUCAGCACAGAAUAUGGCACCAUCCUGAAGGCGUUGGAGAUGGAGCUCCUCCCACCGGGGGUUCGGGAACCAAUCCUUAGCCUGCAGAUCCUGCACAGCGACAGGUCGCUCUUCGUGGGACUCAACGACAGAGUCCUGAAGAUCCCGCUGGAGCGGUGCUCCACCUACAAAACUGAGACGCUGUGCUUGGAGGCCAGGGAUCCCUACUGUGGCUGGGACUUCCGGCAGCGGAGGUGCACCACGCUGGAGGACAGCUCCAACAUGAGCCAGUGGAAGCAGAACAUCACCGCCUGUCCGGUAAGAGGGCGAUGUGACCGACUGACAUGGUCGCCAUCAUCCAUGACUUCUUCUUAUAUCCCCCUGCGGAACCAAACCACCAAUGGCGGCUGGACGCCCUGGUCGUCGUGGGGACAGUGCAGCACGACCUGCGGCACGGGCUUCGAGCUGCGGCAGCGCUCCUGCAACAACCCUUCGCCGCGACACGGCGGCCGCGUGUGCGUGGGGCCGAGCAGGGACGAGAGGUUCUGUAAUGAAGGGGUGGCCUGUCCGCAGCCCAUCUUCUGGACGCCGUGGGGAUCGUGGACCAAGUGCAGCACCGAGUGCGGGGGAGGCGUCCACUCCAGGGUCCGCACUUGUGAGAACGGCAACAGCUGCCCAGGAUGUGCACUGGAAUACAAGGCGUGUAACCUGGAGGCGUGUCCGGAGGUCAAGAGGAACACGCCGUGGACGCCCUGGAUGCCCGUCAACGUGACCCAGGGCGGCGCUCGCCAGGAGCAGCGGAUGCGCUACAUGUGCCGGGCGCACCUGUCCGAUCCCCACGAGCUGCAGAUCGGACGCAGGAAGGUGGAGACGCGCUUCUGUCCCAACGACGGCACGGCCGCCUGCGAGACGGACAGUAAGUUACAGCUCUAUAUUCAAGGGAAAACUUACCCGGCCGGCUCCGGCUGGUCGUCGUGGGAGACCUGGUCCAGCUGCUCGCAGAGCUGCGCCAAGGGCUACCGCACCCGUCGGCGAUCGUGCGCCGGGCCGGAGGGAAAGAGCGCCCCCGUCGCCUGCCGGGGCUCGCCCGUCGAGUACCAGGACUGCAACGUGCAGGCCUGUCCCGUGAAAGGUGCGUGGUCCUGCUGGUCGUCCUGGUCCCUGUGCUCCGUGGGCUGCGGCGGCGGUCACUACCAGCGCACGCGCUCCUGUAACAGCCCGGCGCCCGCCAGCGGGGGGGACAUCUGCAUCGGACUGCACACCGAGGAGGCCCUCUGCAACACACACACCUGCGACGGUGGCUGGAUGGCCUGGUCGCUGUGGUCGGCCUGCGAUGAUUCGGGCUCGCAGAUGAGGAGUCGGGUGUGCGGCGCUCAGGGCAACAGCCCGUGUGUGGGCAACAGCACCCAGCGGCGAGACUGCAACGAAAUACCUGUCAUUCUCCCUGCAUCUGGUUUUGAUAAGGACCAACACUGCGGAGCGUUCACCUCCAUCCACCUGAUCGCCACCGGUGUGUCCUGUUUCCUCGGGGCGGGCCUGCUGUCCUUCCUGAUCUACGUCUACUGCCAGCGCUUCCACAAGCCCUCGCAGGAGUCCGCCGUCAUCCACCCCACCACGCCCAACCACCUCAACUACAAGGGCAACACCACGCCAAAGAACGAGAAGUACACGCCCAUGGAGUUCAAGACGCUGAACAAAAACAACCUGCUGCCAGACGAACGGUCCAACUUCUACCCGACGCCGCUCCAGCAGACCAACGUGUACACCACCACCUACUACCCCACGGCGCUCGGCAAAUUCGACUACCAGCCCAACUCGUCCCCUUCGCCGUGCAGGACCUACAACAACAGCAACAACAGCAACAGCCUGAGACUCGACCAGCUCUCAACCCCCCCCACACACACACACACAUAUACACACACACACCACCACGACCACCACCCCCCACCUGCCGCCGACCCGAACGGACCCCGCCCCCUUCGCCACGGUGACAUAACUGAACCGACGUGAACUGAAACGUUUCUCAGCACCAGGGGUUCCUCUGCGCCCCCCAACCCCCCCCCCCUCGCUCCCGCAGUCCCUUCUGCAUGGUAGGCUUUGUGUUUUCAAGGGCAUUUCUGGAACUUUCCAUCAGGAGAUGUGAGUUUGGACAACGAUGCCCACGUCCCGCCGCAGUCGGGACCAGCUCGGGCGGGGGGAGGGGGGCGGGGCGUGUUAUCGUAACGGGGCCUGACUUGACACAGCAAGAGUCAAUCCAGAGCUCCGUCUCCGUGAGAGGAUCCAGCGGGGAGAGUUUCGGACAGACGGUUAUGAGCGGAGCGCACAUCAGCACAGGUGCUGAGCGGAGCCUCCGCAAUCACAGAGCGGAACAUGAAUAAAGAAAUUCCAUUUCUCUGGAUCUGGCUCA